rnacentral:rRNA from 1 species
GACCUACAAGUCGAGCAGGUGCGAAAGCAGGACUUAGUGAUCCGGCUGUACGUCAUGGAACGGCAGUCGCUCAACGGAUAAAAGUUACCCUGGGGAUAACAGGCUUAUCUUGCCCAAGAGAUCACAUCGACGGCAAGGUUUGGCACCUCGAUGUCGGCUCAUCGCAUCCUGGAGCUGGAGUCGGUUCCAAGGGUUUGGCUGUUCGCCAAUUAAAGCGGUACGCGAGCUGGGUUCAGAACGUCGUGAGACAGUUCGGUCCCUAUCUGAUGUGGGCGUUGGAAUAUUGAUGAGAGCUGCUCUUAGUACGAGAGGACCGGAGUGGACACACCGCUGGUGUUCCUGUUGUUUCGCCAGAAGCAUAGCAGGGUAGCUAAGUGUGGAAAGGAUAACCGCUGAAAGCAUCUAAGUGGGAAGCCUCCUCAGAGAUAAGUAUUCCCUUGAAAUUCCUUGUAGACUACGAGGUUGAUAGGAUGGAAGUGUACGUGUAGUAAUACAUUCAGCUGACCAUUACUAAUAAAUUGA